CGAGGCACCCUCUGGCGGUCUCUGAGGCGGCGACGGCUUGGGCGGACGGUCCGCCGUGCGCAGGCGCGGAGCCUAGACCUCGCUGCAGCCCCCAUCGCCUUGGGGAGUCGCACCCACCGGGUCCGCCCGCUGGCGCGUCUGUGCUCUCCCGCUCGUCCGCCCUCGCGGGUCCUCUCAGCGCCCUACGCGCCCGGAUGGCGGAGCUGCGGCCUAGCGGCGCCCCCGGCCCCGCCGCGCCCCCGGCCCCUGGCCCUACUGCCCCGCCGGCCUUCGCUUCGCUCUUUCCUCCGGGACUGCACGCCAUCUACGGAGAGUGUCGCCGCCUGUACCCUGACCAGCCGAACCCGCUCCAGGUUACAGCUAUCGUCAAGUACUGGUUGGGUGGCCCAGACCCCUUGGACUAUGUUAGCAUGUACAGGAACAUGGGGAGCCCUUCUGCUAACAUCCCUGAGCACUGGCACUACAUCAGCUUCGGCCUGAGCGAUCUCUAUGGUGACAGCAGAGUUCAUGAAUUUACAGGAACAGAUGGACCUAGUGGUUUUGGCUUUGAGUUGACAUUUCGUCUGAAGAGAGAAACAGGGGAGUCUGCUCCCCCAACAUGGCCAGCAGAGCUAAUGCAGGGCUUGGCCAGAUACGUGUUCCAGUCAGAGAACACCUUCUGCAGUGGGGACCACGUGUCUUGGCACAGCCCUUUGGAUAACAGUGAGUCAAGGAUUCAGCACAUGCUUCUCACAGAGGACCCGCAGAUGCAACCUGUACAGACACCCUUUGGGGUAGUUACCUUCCUUCAGAUUGUUGGUGUCUGCACUGAGGAGCUCCAUGCAGCCCAGCAGUGGAAUGGGCAGGGCAUCCUGGAGCUGCUGCGGACGGUGCCUGUCGCUGGUGGCCCCUGGCUGAUAACUGACAUGCGGAGGGGAGAGACCAUAUUUGAGAUUGAUCCACACCUGCAACAGGAGAGAGUUGACAAAGGCAUUGAGACGGACGGCUCCAAUCUAAGCGGCGUCAGUGCCAAGUGUGCCUGGGAUGACCUGAGCCAGCCCCCUGAGGAUGACGAGGACAGCCGGAGCAUUUGCAUUGGCACACAGCCCCGGCGGCUCUCUGGCAAAGACACAGAGCAGAUCCGGGAGACCCUGAGGAGAGGACUUGAGAUCAACAGCAAACCUGUCCUUCCACCAAUCAACCCUCAGCGGCAGAACGGCCUCACCCAUGACCGGGCCCCGAGCCGCAAAGACAGCCUGGAAAGCGACAGCUCCACGGCCAUUAUUCCCCACGAGUUGAUCCGCACGCGGCAACUUGAGAGUGUACAUCUGAAGUUCAACCAGGAGUCAGGAGCCCUCAUUCCUCUCUGCCUAAGGGGCAGGCUCCUGCAUGGACGGCACUUUACAUAUAAAAGUAUCACAGGUGACAUGGCCAUCACAUUCGUCUCCACUGGAGUGGAAGGCGCCUUUGCCACUGAGGAGCACCCUUACGCAGCUCAUGGACCCUGGUUACAAGAUCGAGCGUACAUCCUUGGGCCCUGUGUGCCUAGGCCUGUUGGGGCAGAGGAGCCAGAAACGAGCAAAUGCAGCAGACCCAGGACUUAAAGAGACUCAGACUUCUGUUUUCUUUGUCUGCUGCUUGAACCUCCCUGUUGGUCCCAGCUGAAUCGGGAGGGGCCAGGAUGACUUUCUUGCAUCAGACUUCAACAGCCUUGGAAGCCCUCAUUCCCAGCCUUGGCACCUUGUUCUGGCUACCAGCCCAGGCCUGUUAUCUCUUGGGGAAAAGGCAUGGCAAAGACACCCUACAUUGGGGGAGAGUGACAAAGGGGAGGCUGAGAGAAAAAGGCAGAAGCUGAGGGACUCUGAGCCCUGUCUGGAGUUCGUAAGUGGCCCCAGCCAGGCCUCUACACCCACCUGCUCCUGGGCCUGCACCUGCCCUCCAUGAUUCUCCCCUCCCCUGUUUCUCCAGCAUCAGGAAAGUCAAGGCCCCAGCACACAGGAAGACAGGGCCAUCUGCAACCUCCGGGUGAGCACAGUGGACACUCCCUGCUUCCUGGAGGAGCUGGAGAGGCAGGAAUCCUGCUCCAACUCCAGAGGCUCUUAGGUUCCAGAGGUCGACACCUUGACUCCAUCUGCCUUACCAUCUGCUGUUUUCUUCCUCACUGAGAUGGGAAAGCAUAUCAGCAAACUCCAGAGCUUUGCAAAAGGGUCUUCAGCUGGGGGAGGGCUGCCAGCAUUCUCUCCUGUACACCUUCCCCUAGCAUUCCUCAUCCCAGUGGCUUUAACAAGCCUCUCUCCCUUGAGUCUGUCAUCACCAGGCUGUUAGUCCUCUGAGCAGAAGCCUGGCCCAGAGCUGAGUCGUUCAUCUGUCUUCAGCCAGGAUUGAACUGAAGGGGUUGAAGUUGGCCUCAGAGGUCACAUGGGGGUCACAUCACCAAAUAUGAGAAUAUUUUUUUAAAGCCCUGCAAUGCUUUCUCAGCUGUGUGGUGUCUGACAGCUCACCCAGCUGGCGCCCCAUUCUCAGUCAUUCGCUACCAGCCCUGAUGGGAGGCCCAGGCUUGGGAGAAGAUGCCCAGCAGCUGUUCCAAGUGGGCUCUGCUGCUUCAGGCCAGGUUUGGAGACUCACUGCUGGGCUCUUCUCCUAGCCCAGUGACUGACUCACCAGUGUCCUUUGGACAAGCCCCUGCCCUCUCCUGUCCCCAUCUGCCUACUUGGACAUUAUGUGGAAGACACUUGGCAAGCCCUGGCCCUGGCCCUGGGCAGCUCCUCUUCAAUGUCUCUGCUGUUUUUUCCUUCCACUGGUGAACCCGGCCACAACAUGUUCUCCCUGGAGGACUUUGCCUAGGCUGUCAUGGGGACCACAUUGUCCAGAGGUAUACCCUGGGGACCUCAUUGUCCAGGGGUACACUCACUAGGGUUUAAAACUCAGCGCUGUGCCUUGAGAAGUACAACACCCUCCCUCUCAGAAGAGGACUGGGAUGGCUGGCUGUGCCCUCACCAGCAACAGCCAGAGCAAGAGAAGUCUGAGCCUGCUCCUGGCCACCAAAACCGACUUCUCACCACCCACCAAGAACAGGAAAUGAGUGAGGCCUUGCUGUGCCACCACUGCAGCUCUACCUGCCACACACACACCUGCCCUCAAGCCUGGAGGGUCUCCAGGCUAUUUUCUGAUUUGUGUCGGGCCCGUUGGGGUGAGGAGGAUGCAGACUGGACUGCUUCCUCAUCCCUGCCUCCUCCACUGCCAUAGUGGGUGCCAGAGCAGCUCCUUGGCAAGCCCUACCCUGUAAACAACACAUUUCCUUCCCUCAGAGAAGGAAAGGGAGGAAAAAAGAAAGCCAAACUUGUUGGGAAGCAAGAACAACGUGUCAACAUGAAGGACAAACAAAGCCCCAGACAAAGUGUGGAUUGUCAUUCCAAGGGGAAGGAGUGGGCAUUGUCAGCACUGUAUGCAGACUCAGAAAUAUCACUGACCACAGACAUUUGAAUCAAAUCUGCAGCAUCCGGGCUUCUGCCUGCAGCAGAGCUGGGCCUGCCCAGGACAGGCACUGACGAAAGAUCACUUUUUGAGUUCCUUAUGGAACUUGCUGGAGGCUGGGGAAUUGGGCAGUUGUUGACAAUCCUCCGUCAUCACCAACCAGCCAGGCUGUUCUAAGGCGCCUGGUGUGAGCACCUUGGCAUACACUGCUAGACUAGAUUCCAAGCCCCCUCCCUAGCCAAAGGUGGGGUAAGGGUGAGAGUUGAGGAGCCACAGCUGCCCUCCCAGCUCAGCCAAUUAGAUGGUGGUAGAGCUGCAGCCACCAACACCCCUAUUGGUUAAGCCUGUGCCCAUACCCUCUUCCCCUGUGAGUUGGAGUAUUUCCUAGCACUCUGCCCACCAUGAUCUCCUGCGGUACCUUUUAAAAAUGAAGAUGCCUUGACCUCGCCCCCACAUUCUGAUUCAGAAGGUCUAGAUGGGGCCUGCAUCUCCAUAUUUUCAAAAGCUUCCCAGGAGAGUUUGGCUGAGGGGCUUUCCCCUCUCACUAGAGAGUUUCCUCCCUCUGAGGGCUGUUUUUACACAAACAUAAGCAUUUUAUGACCAGCUCUUGGACAGACAUCAUUGAAUGCUAUUAUUAUUUCUACUGCUAUUUUCUGGGCUAAAGUACCUGUUGCCUUAUGCAUGCACUCACCGAGCUGACCUGAAAAUUUGCCCUGCUGUCCCCAUUUAGAAGCCAACUUUGGGCAUGGUUUGCCUUCCUUUCCAAUUGGCCAACCUGGUUUUCCAGUGGCUAUAAGUCUAUGACCCUCAGGGUUCCAGCCCCAUUGAGCUGAGCAAGUGGUCAGGAGAUAUGUGGCUGGUUGGUGUUGGGAUUGCUGGUUUUCUAGGCUAUUGGUCAAAGCCAGAGUCAUCUUAAUCUCCCCAUCAGAGUAGAGAGAGUAGUCAGCACAGAAUACACAAGGCUUCUAGAAUUGACAUACCUUCCCCAAACAGAAAAAGAGCAUCCUCUACUACCGUGAUGUCAGAUCACUGUUCUAAAGUCCAGGAGACUUGUCUCCUCUUGACACCUACUUAUCUACAAAAUGGAGAUGAUGUUUCCUCUCUUACAGGACCGUCAUAAGGAUUAAGUGAAAUGAUACAGGUCAGGCAACGAGCCCAGUGCCUGGCACAUGGAGGAAACACUGCCCCUGCUAUUGGUAGUGUUAUCAUUACUACUGUCAUUGUCAUAAACAUUCCUUUUGUUAUUGGUGGCAGAGCCAGGCAGCUCUGUGGGGACUCAAUGAGCUUCAAGAACCCCAAGCCCCAGAAUUGCACAGGAUUUUCCCACAGUUAUAUCACAACAGCGAGUCUGUUGCUCGUGAGAACGUCCAGGAGCUGCUCCAUCAUAGCUGUCUAUCUCCAGUGUCCUGUUGAUAAGAUCUGUUAACAUUCUCAGCUCCAGGUCUGAAAUAUACAAAACAGGGCCUGUUUGUUGAACCUAAGUGUCUAAGGUUUAACUCCCAAAGGAAAUUAAAUUAGGUGCCUGGAGCUAUGACAGUCUGUCGUGGUUUUUUACAGGGAAUGUCACCCUUAAUACCAUGCAGAUUUCAUGUAUAAUUUUCCCCUGUUUGGGUCCUUUAAAAUAAUGUGUUUUUUUUAGGAACCAGCAAAUCACCAAAAGUCAAAAUUGACUAGCAACUAGGGUUUGUCCUUUUUUUUUGGUCCUGCCAUCCCCUCCCUGAGCUGAGUACAAAAUGAGUCCUCACACAGAUGGUACACUAUACCCUUGGUAGCUGUUCCACUAAAAGCCUCCAUAACCCACCCUCUCUCUACCACCAGUUCUAUCUAUACCUUUGUCAGAGGAACUGGUUUAGGACUGAACUCAGCAUUGGUGGGGUUACCUUUCCGAUUGUUUAAAAACAGCUCUUUGGAGUCUCACUGGGUGGCCAUAGUCCCUGCAAGCUCUCCACUCAUCUCACCCCAGCACUAGUUAUAGUCCCAGACCUAUUUACCGCUCUGGCAGAAAGUCUCUCCCUCCAAAUUAUUUGUGGGUUAGAAAUCAGCCCGGACUGGAGCCAUUGCAAUAUAAUUGGGUUUAGGUAUGCUUGUGUUUGUGUUAGCAUUUGCAGAGAUGGCAACAAGCCCCGGAAAUGACAGAAAUAUGAAUGUGACUUUUGUACUACUCAAGCAGACUGGUGAUAACUGGUAGAGGAACUCUGGACUUUUGUGGGGGAAAACCCCUGGGAUAAGAGGAGGAGGCACAAGGGCUCAGACUGUGGGAGGAUCAGAGUGUGACUGGGGACAAGUCACCAUAGUCUGUGAGGGGAGUCAGCCAGCCCCACUGUGGGGAACUUGGAGGACGAACCGGAUGGGAGGGGCACCGUGGGCAGGCAUUUCCUUGGAUGACUUUGUCUGAACCUUGUCUGUCCUCACUUGGGACCUGAACUCCUCAAACAGAAACUUUGGUGAGGAGAUGUGGGCCAGUGGUCAGAGCUGUUUUGUUCCUGACUGGGGGCUUGCAGCCCGGGAAGGAGAUGUUCUUUGAUUCCUUGUCAACCAAGAAAGGGGGCAUGUUCAGCUGUGGGCUACCUUCAUGCCUGUUGUCUCUGGGGCUCUACCCAGGGCUGGGCCUAACAGAGGCCUCCAGGGAAUGCUGUGGAAUCGAAUUGCUUGCUGGGCAGAUGAGUGGAAGAAUGAGUAAAUGUGUGGGGCUUGGAAGCAGUACUUCAGGCACUAACUUUGGAGUCCAGACAUGACUGGGAUGUGGUCUUAUCUCAGCUGCUCACAGCUAUGUGAUGUUGGGCAAAUUAUGUAACCUAUCUGUGCCUCAGUUUCCUCAUCUGUAAAGAGACUGAGAAGAGAAGAUUACGAGCAGUUAGCAAGGUGCCUGGUGUAGUAGCUGGUCCGGUCGCCUGGGGUGGUUUUAUUUCUUGCUCCCACCUCCACCCCAUCAAUUUCCUUCCUUUGGAGCCCUCCAUCCUGUGAGGUUCCUCUGCCAUUUCACUUCAUCUCACAAGCUGACUAUGUUCUAAAUGUUGAAACUUAUGUUUUUAUCAGAAUGAACAACUCCCAGGGGAAACCUGAUGAGUAUUUUCUCGAGUUCUUGAUCUCCAAUCCCCAUCCUCUGAGGGGGUUUCCCUCAGAGAAGCUCCUCACCUUCAUUUUCACCCAUUGUCUUUCUUUCUCUGUGUCCUGCCCAGGGCAUUCAAAGUCUGCUGGAGGAGGCAAGGCAGAGGUAGGUAGGGCCACAGCCUGGGAUGUAGAAGGAUCUGGUUCAGAGGCCAGGAGGCCCCAUAUACCAGCACAGGGAGGAGAGGGGCCAGGGAAGGGCUCAACUUGGGAAAAGACAGCCUCAGCCUGGGCCGGUGUGGUGCAGCCCUGAGGUGAGCUUGGUCUGGCUCUACAGAGACUGCAUGAGGAGAGAAGCUGGCUGGGAAAGGGACCCAUCAGGCUGAGGAAGGCCCGAGUGCCUUGGACAUUCCCAUGGGCUGUCAAAACUACUUUGGGGAUUCUGUUGACUGAAGAGUUUGUAGAGAAAAUGUUGGAGGACUUAGAAGAUUUGACUUCUCCAGAGGAA